UACAGAGGGUGCGAGCGUUGUCCGGAAUCACUGGGCGUAAAGCGCACGUAGGCGGAUUGCUAAGUCAGGGGUGAAAUCCUGGAGCUCAACUCCAGAACUGCCUUUGAUACUGGCGACCUUGAGUCCGGAAGAGGCGAGUGGAACUCCUGGUGUAGCGGUGGAAUGCGCAGAUAUCAGGAAGAACACCAACGGCGAAGGCAGCUCGCUGGGACGGUACUGACGCUGAGACGCGAAAGCGUGGGGAGCGAACAGG
rnacentral:rRNA from 1 species